CGUGAUAUUUAUUAGGUACUACAAAUCCUUACUGAAAAUGGAGCACAAUUUGACCAAAGAAAUCACAACACCAGCACGGAGCAAAAGGUUGUUAAGCCCAGAGUUCAUGGCAUAGUGAUGGAGCAUCAAGGAUUGAGAAGAGGACACAUGGUGGGGAAGUAGACAAACAUGGAAAACAGAGGCAGGGCUGUUCCUGCUGAGUGCUGCGCUGCCCGGGGCGGUCACUUCUGCUGGCCAGGAAAGUAGCAGGCCUGCUUGGUCUGGUGGCUCUCGAUGUGAGGAAUGACAAUGGGACAUUUCUGCUGCGAGGACUGGCCGUACCCACCACUGCCUCCUCCGGAGCUGAUGAUGAUGGUGUGGCCCGAGGAACCGCCACUGCCCCCACUGGAUCCCCCACCGCAGCAUCCGGAGGAUCCCCCACUGCUUCCACCUCCUCCAACAAUGAUCUUGCCUCCGGAAGAUCCACCACUGCUGGAUCCCCCACCACAGCAUCCAGAUGAGCCACCUCCUCCACCUCCAGAGCUAACGAUGAUCUUCUGGCCUGAUCCCCCACUGCCAUAGCUGGAAGAGCCAUAGCCAGAAGAGCCACCACCGCAGCAUCCAGAGGAACCACCACUGCUUCCACCUCCAAUGAUGCUCUUGGAUCCUGAAUAACCACUGCUAUAUCCACCCCCGUAGCUGGAUCCCCCACUACAGCAUCCAGAGGAUCCACCACUGCUCCCACCUCCAGUAAUGAUGAUCUUUCCUUCUGAAGACCCACCACCGCUGGAUCCUCCACCACAGCAACCAGAGGAUCCACCACUGCUUCCACCUCCUCCAAUGAUGCUCUUGGAUCCCGAGUAACCACCACUGCUGUAUCCUCCUCCUAUUCCGUAGCCCGAGGAGCCUCCACUGCAGCACCCAGAGGAUCCCCCACUGCUUCCACCUCCUCUAAUGAUGAUCUUCUGGCUCGAUCCCCCACUGCCACCACUGUAUCCUCCUCCCAUGCUGUAUCCCGAGGAGCCCCCGCAGCAGGAGGAGCCCUGUGCCUGGUAGCUGGAGGAGCUGCCCCCACUGCAGCAUCCCCCGGACUGGGAAGAUGACUCGUGGCAGCCUCCGGAGCUCUGUCGGGA
ensembl:lncRNA